rfam:Clostridium bolteae CAG:59 genomic scaffold, scf91
AAAAAUAAUUAGCAAAACUGGUGAAAGCUAGUGACGCAAAGCUACAGGGAUUUCUCUCUAAAAAGAGGUGUCAGCCAGCUGCAUGA